UUUAAGUGCAGCCAUGGUUUUUCUUGCCCAACUUUAACCGUUCAUCUUAUUUGAAAAAAAAACUAAAAAACGUAAGUCACGAGUAAAGUACUAUUCAUAUUUUAUCAUCUUAUAACAACAAAAAUACUAAUUAUAAAAUAAUUUUAAAUAAGACGAACGAUUAAAGUUGGGUGCGAAAACUUAUAGUUGCAUUUAAA
rnacentral:pre_miRNA from 1 species